GAUGCAAGUGUUAUCCGGAAUCGCUGGGCGUAAAGCGUCUGCAGGUGGUUUCCUAAGUCCACUGUUAAACCUUGAGGCUCAACCUCAAAUCUGCAUUGGAAACUAGGAGACUUGAGUAUAGUAGGGGUAGAGGGAAUUUCCAGUGGAGCGGUGAAAUGCGUAGAUAUUGGAAAGAACACCGAUGGCGAAGGCACUCUACGGGGCUAUUACUGAGACUCAGAGACGAAAGCUAGGGGAGCAAAUGGG
rnacentral:rRNA from 1 species